rnacentral:rRNA from 1 species
AGUGAACGCUGGCGGUAGGCCUAACACAUGCAAGUCGAACGGCAGCACAGUAAGAGCUUGCUCUUACGGGUGGCGAGUGGCGGACGGGUGAGGAAUACAUCGGAAUCUACUUUUUCGUGGGGGAUAACGUAGGGAAACUUACGCUAAUACCGCAUACGACCUACGGGUGAAAGCAGGGGAUCUUCGGACCUUGCGCGAUUGAAUGAGCCGAUGUCGGAUUAGCUAGUUGGCGGGGUAAAGGCCCACCAAGGCGACGAUCCGUAGCUGGUCUGAGAGGAUGAUCAGCCACACUGGAACUGAGACACGGUCCAGACUCCUACGGGAGGCAGCAGUGGGGAAUAUUGGACAAUGGGCGCAAGCCUGAUCCAGCCAUACCGCGUGGGUGAAGAAGGAGUUCGGGUUGUAAAGCCCUUUUGUUGGGAAAGAAAAGCAGCAGGUUAAUACCCCGCUGUUCUGACGGUACCCAAAGAAUAAGCACCGGCUAACUUCGUG